CUUAGGGUCUGUUUCACAAUGUAUGGAUAAAGUACCAAAUAGCUAUGCAACACAUAAAUUAUUUGGAAGAUAAAAGUUCCGAAUAAGAAACUUUGCGUUUCACAAUCAUAUUUUAUCCGGCACAUAACUAUCCGACACAUAAAGAAGAUUGUGGUAGCAACACCAAAUUCGUAUGUUCCGUUUUUUUGUUACGAACAAAUAAAGUUACAAAAUUCUAUAGAAAAACAUAGAACCUUAACCUUUUUGUUGGUCAUUUAAUAUUACUUGUAAUGAAACGGGCUGUCAUUUUCACAUGGUAUUUUUGUUUGUUAGGUUAUUGAGUAUUUUAGUACAUAUUUUAGUUCGGUGCCUUCGGCUUGACCUUUCCGUUGUUUUUGUGAUUCGAGGUGGAUUCUUUAACUUAAAAAAAUGUCUACGCAAAAACGUGAAAGAAGCGUCAAUUUCAGCCGGGAAGAAGUUGAGCUUCUAACUUCGCUUGUUGCUGAUCAUAAAAAUAUAUUAGAAAAUAAAAAAAGUGACUCAGUCACCUGGCAGGAGAAAGAGCAGUGCUGGAAGACGUUAGAGGCGCUGUUUAAUAGCACAAGUGGGGAAAACUUUCGCAGCGCUAAAACUUUAAAAGCUAAAUACGAAGGCUUAAAGAGGGCUACAAGAAAAAAGUCUGCCUUGAUACAUGCUGAAACGUAACGUAAAGGAGGUGGCCCUAGUGCUGCUACUCCUCUUACCCCUAUCGAGGAAAAAGUCAAAGACAUGAUAUUGUUGUCUGUCGAAGGAAUUGAAAGUCAAUUUGACUCCGAUCGCAUUGGUGAAUGUGGUAGUGCUACCCCAAAAAAAUUGGCAUUUGAAAAGUGGACCAACUGGAAGCCAAAAUCUCUACGUUCCAAAAAACAUCCCGCUUUAUCUACUCCGAAGAUGAAAAGGCCAUUCGAAAAAGUUGCUGAUUCAAAAUUAGAGAUUGCGGAUCUGCAAAAGAAGAUUCUGGAGGUAGAGCUUCUAAAUAAGAGAAAGCAAUGGGCAUUUGAAGAGGAAGAAAGAGAGCAUAAAAGAUAAUUAUGGGCCAUAGAAAAAAAUAUGUUGUUAAAUAAAUUAGAAAAAUAAUCGAUUUUGUGCCUGGA